rnacentral:rRNA from 1 species
GCCGCGGUAAGACAGAGGUGGCAAGCGUUGUUCGGAAUUACUGGGCGUAAAGAGUCUGUAGGUGGUUUGUCAAGUCUUUGGUGAAAGGCCGUAGCUUAACUAUGGGAAUGCCAAAGAGACUGGCAGGCUGGAGGCUGGGAGAGGGAAGCGGAAUUUCUGGUGUAGCGGUGAAAUGCGUAGAUAUCAGAAGGAAGGCCGGUGGCGAAGGCGGCUUCCUGGAACAGUCCUGACACUGAGAGACGAAAGCGUGGGGAGCAAACAGGAUUAGAUACCCUGGUAGUCCACGCCCUAAACGAUGGGUACUAAGUGUGGAGGGGUUAAACCCUCCGUGCCGCAGCAAACGCAGUAAGUACCCCGCCUGGGGAGUACGGCCGCAAGGUUAAAACUCAAAGGAAUUGACGGGGCCCGCACAAGCGGUGGUGCAUGUGGUUUAAUUCGACGCAACGCGAGGAACCUUACCUAGG